rnacentral:rRNA from 1 species
GAUCAUGGCUCAGGACGAACGCUGGCGGCGUGCCUAACACAUGCAAGUCGAACGGAACGCCCUUGAAAGAGUUUUCGGACAAUGGAUAGGGAGGUUUAGUGGCGGACGGGUGAGUAACGCGUGAGCAAUCUGCCUUUCAGAGGGGGACGAACAGUUGGAAACGACUGCUAAUACCGCCAUAACGUACCGGUGCGGCAUCGCACUGAUACCAAAGAAUUAUAUCGCUGAGAG